rnacentral:rRNA from 1 species
CCUACGGGAGGCAGCAGUGAGGAAUAUUGGUCAAUGGACGAGAGUCUGAACCAGCCAAGUAGCGUGAAGGAUGACUGCCCUAUGGGUUGUAAACUUCUUUUAUAUGGGAAUAAAACAGGGUAUGCAUACCCUCUUGUAUGUACCAUAUGAAUAAGGAUCGGCUAACGCCGUGCCAGCAGCCGCGGUAAUACGGAGGAUCCGAGCGUUAUCCGGAUUUAUUGGGUUUAAAGGGAGCGUAGGUGGAUUGUUAAGUCAGUUGUGAAAGUUUGCGGCACAACCGUAAAAUUGCAGUGGAAACUGGCAGUCUUGAGUACAGUAGAGGUAGGCGGAAUUCGUGGUGUAGCGGUGAAAUGCUUAGAUAUCACGAAGAACUCCGAUUGCGAAGGCAGCUUACUGGACUGCAACUGACACUGAUGCUCGAAAGUGUGGGUAUCAAACAGGAUUAGAUACCCCAGUAGUC